rnacentral:lncRNA from 1 species
UAGGGAAGUAAAGCAUUGGAAAAGGCUACAGAUACUGUACACUGUAGCAGAUGCAUGAUUGGGCUGAGGGGAGGUGGAGCAGAGAGCUGUGCAGAUACAGAUACUGUAUGACCCACUUUGAGCUGUUGCAGCUCUAGCCUGGGUCUUAUCACGUCAAGCCUGUUCUCUCUAACCCCCAUCCCGCAGAAUGGAGACAAUGUUCAUGUCCCUGUGACAGCUAAGGGCAACAUCGCUGCAGCCAAUGGAGUACUCUCAUUGGCUCUGGGCUGGAUACUGGACUGUUCAUUGGAGCCCUAAAGCGGUUGGAUGUUAGAUCCCCGGAGUGGUUGUGAGUCGUGACACCUCCCUUAGGCUUCCACAGGGUGGUGAGGCUGAGUAUGGGUCUGGGCUCCAGAGACUGGUCCAUUCAGGUCUGCGUCUCCCCCCAUCAUCCCUUGGCUCCACCCCAGGAAUGUGGCUUGAUUGCGGUUGGACUCUCCCCCUGACACACUGACAUAUAGGGUUGGGAUGGGCCUGGACCAACCCCCAACCUUGACACUGAACAUGGGCCUAGUAGGGCCUCCUAGCUCCUGCUUGCUCCUGGUCUUGGGGCUCACGUUCCCCUUAAAAGCAAAUGUUAGUUUUAAAAGUAAGUUUGAUAAGACGUUGUCUUGUGUGGGCCGUCCUGCCAUCCGUGGACCAUGGAGGAGCAGGGUUUGAUGUAUGGUGCCAGAUGCCCAGUGCCAGAUGUUACAACGUGGGUUGAAGUUGUGGGUUUGCCGUGCGUCUCUGUUUCAGAGCUGGUGCCAGGAGAACUGUCUGCUGAUGAGAAGGUGGCCUGGUUACAGGGUAAAUGGAAACAAGAUGUGGCGGCCCCGCACUCCUUUGAAGGUGUUCCACACCAUACCUCUGAAUCUGUGGAGGAGAAUUUAGACCUUUUCCAAGAAGGCCUGAUGAAAGAGUUACCCGGACGACUGACCCUCCUUCCAGAGAAACUUGGGUCAUCACAUGGCUGAGAUAGGACUCUGCCAAGGAGCUUCACAACAACCUACUCCACAUUUCACCCACAUCACUCCCUUGAACCAACACAUCUUUAGUAACUCAACAUAAGAUAUAUGGCAUGUGUGUUCCAAGAACAGAGAGAGAGUCUGGUCAAUCUCAAGUAAUGACACAGAGGAAAAUAUUAUUAAUUUCUAAGAUGGAUGGAUGUCAAUAAACCAGAUGCUUUUGUACAUGUAAUAUUGAACAGUAACCUUCCAUAAAACCAUAUAUUUCCUGGUAGACCUGAGUAAAAUAAGUUAAACCUUGAGAACUACUUGAGAACUCAAAAUGAUUCGUUAUGCCUCACAAUCAGGGGCGAAAAUCUGAUAUCCACUUUGGAGGGGACAAUUACAUGAAAUUUUCUCAAGAACAAUUCCUGAGGGGGACACCAAAAGUAGUGCUGUAACACAUAGCCUACAUUGUAAUAUGGUAAAUGUAUAUUGAGGAACCAAAGAAAUAAGGUGUUUGCCGUACUCCUAACUACCGGUACCCAAAACUACACAACUAAUCACAACAGCAAUACCAUUGCCUUUAACAAAUCUUAGUUCAGUCACCAGUUUAAGUUGAGAGUGGGGGUAUCCAUGGCAUUUUCCAAUUAUGUUCCUAUUUUACAAGUAAAAAAAAUUGAGAACCUUUCAUAAUGUUGCCAAACAAAGACUCAACAAACUUACCUGAGACUCCCUGUCUCUGCCAGUCUGUCCCUGCAUAUCUGUCCCCAACUCUGCUGUCUGUGUGCCAUCUGUUGCCUGCUCUGCCUAAUGACAUCAUUGUGAAACACAUUUACAUUUACAUUUAAGUCAUUUCCAUUAGAAUUUCAUUUCUUUCUUAUGAACAUUUUAUCAACUAGACUUUGAGAUAUUAGGCUACUAGGGUUCUUACUAUGCGUUUUGGUGUAUUGAAAAAUACCCUGAUGUCCGUCUUUUAUUUUUCUGCCAUUUUUCUACCUGGCUGGCUGGCUACACACACACACACAGUGUGUAGGUUAUUUACAGUAGGAGAUGGGCUUCUAUCAUCUUCAAACAUUCUAUAUGGGCUUCGAUCUAAAAGGUAGCUAGCAAAUGUGAAACGGAUUAAAAUGACAAGAGUUGACAGCUGUAUGAGUUCACCAUUUACACAACAUAUGCUGCAACCUUUCGUAAUUUUAACAGUUUGUUUCAUAUUGGCUGGCUUCCAACAAUAGCUGAAUUUGCAAAGCUAGUGAGCACCAAUUCAGUUUCAGUGGUGUUUGCUAUAAUCUUUGCUACCAGGGUUAAAUAAAAGUGAAAUAAAAUAAAUAAAUAAAAGUUCCCUUGCGACAAUUUAGCUUUUGCAACGAGACCAUUAAAUAUAUUUAAGACAAUGGUAGAAGAGAGUGUAGUUCUGUUCAGUUUGGACUUCAGUUUAUCGCUAACCUUAUCACAGGGACUUUGAAGCACUAACUUACAUCAUCUGCAUGCUGAUUCCAUCUUUGACGACGCCACAUAAAUGGAAUAGGUACUAGCUAGCUUAAUAGUUAAUAUUUGCGUGCUAGCUCUGCAUAUUCAGCUAGUGUGUGUGUGCGCGAUUGACUGGAUGAACCUCACGGCAGUUACGUAGCAAGCUAAGGAACUGGCAGUGGAUCAAACCAUUGUGAGGCAAAGGGCGGGGGGGUCGCAAUCUUUUGAAACUUAAAAACGCGCUAUUAAGUGUCUAUAAUCAGCACAAUUGCUUUCAUUGCGUAUUAUUAAUAUUAUUUAAAUUACAUAGUUAUGUUUCAGUGAUAUAUUGGGGGGGGAUAAAUCAUAUUUUUCCCAGGAUGGGGGGGUCGUGUCCCCCCCCGUCCCCCCCGGGAUUUCUGCCCCUGCUCACAAUUACCAUUAAAAUCAAAUCAUAUUUUAUUAAUCACAUAAUUCAUAAACAACAGGUGUAGACUAACAGUGGAAUUCUUACUUAUGGGCCCUUACCAACAAUGCAGAGAGAGAGAAAAUAGAGAAAUGAUAGCAAAGUUACAGCACAUAAUAAUCAAAGUAAUAAUAAAUUGUCACGUUGUCUAAUUAUUGGAGACAGGCGCAGGAAUACUAAUAGGUUUUUUUAUUUUCUCCAUCCAAACAGAAGAGCGAGGUGGAAACCUCUAAAUAAUACACGGGACGAGACCCGUAAAACAAGUGCACAAUAACAUGUAUCAUGGAAGCCAAUACAAUAGCACAGGUACUCACAGGACCAACGGAAAUGGGGAACAGAGGGCACAUAAACUCAGCAAAAAAAACCACCCCUUUUUCAGGACUCUGUCUUUCAAAGAUAAUUCGUAAAAAUCCAAAUAACUUCACAGAUCUUCAUUAUAAAGGGUUUAAACACUGUUUCCCAUGCCAGUUCUUUGAACCAUAAACAAUUAAUGAACAUGCACCUGUGGUCCUUAAGACUUAAGACGGUAGGCAAUUAAGGUCACGGUUGUGAAAACUUAGGACACUAAAGAGGCCUUUCUACGGACUCUGAAAAACACCAAAAGAAAGUUGCCCAGGGUCCCUGCUCAUCUGCCUGAACGUGCCUUUUGACCCUCCCUUUGUUCAGGGACACAUUAUUCAAUUUCUGUUAGUCACAUGUCUGUGGAACUUGUUCAGUUUAUGUCUCAGUUGUUGAAUCUUGUUAUGUUCAUAAAAAUAUUGACAUGUUAAGUUUGCUGAAAAUAAACACAGUUGACAGUGA